CCGGGUUGGAGGGGAGCGCAGGGUUUAAGGGUUAGGUGGAUCCUCGCGAGGAGCCGGGUAUGUUGAAGGUGGGAAUGAAGACGUCCUUCCUGGGCCAAGGUCCUCUGGACUCCACCCUCCUACCCUGCCAACUGGAGACUUCCCAGCAUCCUUUCCCGCCCAGUGGAAGAGGGAGGAACCAGGUGCUAAGCAAAAGGAUUUGAAUUUUACCCUGAAAGCCAUGGAGAGUGUAAGGUGUACCUCCUCUGCGGUCCCAUUGCAGGCCGUGCAUACCUCCAUCAGUAGUACUUACAACAGAACGUGGGACCACGCCUUAUUCUUCAUGGUUCUCCAGUGAGUGCUAAGCAAAUUUCGCUUGAGCGAACCGACCUAAGUUUCAGUCCAGACGCUAGCAUUCACUAUGUGUAUAAUCUAGGGCAAGCAUUCCGCUUUUAUAUAAAAUAGGCAUAGCUCCUGUUGGGAGGAUUAAAGGAAAUAGUGUAUUUUAAAAAAUUAGCAUGAUGUCUGGUACACAGAUAGAAACUCAUCUGAGUUCUUAAGAAACAUCUUUAAAGUGUCCAUGUAUCUUCCAGGGUGAAAAUAGCAGAAGAAGCACCAAAUUAACUAUUUUAUGCAAGUAAUUCUUUAUGAUUACUCAGGCAUAGUCACUGUAAAGUCUUUAAAAGAAGCCUCAUAUUAAUAUACACAGCUUACCUGCAGGAAGCUCAGUGAACUCCAUCAAUGUACCUUUUUUUUUUUUUUUUUUGCUAAUAUCAAAUCUAAUUUUCACAGCACCCAUUAUUCUUUGCUAUACCUUGUGACAUUGAAGGAAAAAUGAUUUAUCCUGCAACUGAAAGGAGAGAAAAGUUGUAAGGCUAGACUACAAUUUUUAUACCCCACCCCCAUCAACUGGUAUAUAAUUUGUCAGUGUCUGCUUCUGGCUCAGGAAUUUUGGCUGUAUCUUCCAAAGGAUGUAAUUUAUUUCUUUUUCAGUGGUUAUGGUUUUGGAACAGGAACAAAUAAGUCCGGAUUGAGGAGUCCCUAGAAGUGUGUGCCAAAUAAAAACUUUUCAAAACUCAGUACAUAGCUCACUUGCAUCCAAAAUCAGUACAUCUUUGACAGAAUCACCUGCAUUUUUACCAAGUGUCCCAGGUCAUUCCGAUACAUAGAACAUUUGAAAACCUUUUGGACACAUGUAGGGUGACAAAUUGUUCUAGUGUGGCUGGGAUGGAGGGGUUUCCCAGGACACAGGACUUUAUAAGUGCAAAAGCCGGGACAAUCCUGGGCAAACUGUUGAUCAUCUUAGAUACAUACUCUUGCCCAACAUUCCCUGUUUCGAUCACAUGCCACUUGGGGAGCGCCUGCUGCUGAACUCCGGAGAGAGUCCAAUCCAAGGAAAAUAAUGGCACAUCAUGCUAAUAGCUCUCAGCGAAGGUGUUGCAGAGAGAAAUUCCCAGCGUAUGUCUCACUGCCCAAGGCUCAGCAGUUCCCAGCUUGAGGAAGGAGGGUGGGACAGGAAGCUGCCAAUUCUACAGUGUGUUCAUGUGGAGGCCUUCAAGUCCUGCCAACUUUAAACCACACCGAUGGAGAGAGGAUGCUUCCCCAGGCUCCAGACAGGAACGCCUCCUGUUCAAUGCCCAGCACGACUGCCGAUGCUGCCAGAGACAACACCUUCCAGGAACCACAGUGAAAACUAUGCAAAGUACAAUUAAGACAGGGCCAUUCCUGAAACGACAUACGGAGCCAUCUUCUGGGGCCUCAUGGCUGCAUUUUUUUUCAGUGACUUCAAAAGGGAAGCGUUGGUAGCAAAAUAGUACAGUAUGGAAUAAGGAAAUUCUCUGGACUAGCUGUUCAAUUUUCCUGUAAACCUAAAAUGAAAAUCAAAUGUACAGUCUUUUAAUUAAAAAAAGACAAUUAGCCCU